GCAAGGACAGCUUAAACCCCUGAUACAAUAAGCUUUCAACAAGGAAGGUGAGGGGACUGAAAAUCCUCGUGUCGCCGGUUCAAGUCCGGCUCCUGGCA
rnacentral:tRNA from 1 species